rnacentral:rRNA from 1 species
AAGACCUUGCGCUUUUGGAGCGGCCGAUGCCUGAUUAGCUAGUUGGUGGGGUAAUGGCCUACCAAAGCUUCGAUCAGUAGCUGGUCUGAGAGGACGGCCAGCCACACUGGGACUGAGACACGGCCCAGACUCCUACGGGAGGCAGCAGUGGGGAAUUUUGGACAAUGGGCGCAAGCCUGAUCCAGCCAUGCCGCGUGAGUGAAGAAGGCCUUCGGGUUGUAAAGCUCUUUCAGUCGGGAAGAAAAGGUUGCGAUUAAUAAUCGCAAUUUAUGACGGUACCGGAAGAAGAAGCACCGGCUAACUACGUGCCAGCAGCCGCGGUAAUACGUAGGGUGCGAGCGUUAAUCGGAAUUACUGGGCGUAAAGGGUGCGCAGGCGGUUUUGUAAGUCAGAUGUGAAAUCCCCGGGCUUAACCUGGGAACU